UGUUCUGAUGCCCCUCCACCCAUGGUGUCUCCAAAGGCCCGACCCUGCACCCGCCCCUAGUCUGAACCCAGAAGGCCACUGACUUCUCGCUCCUGCUCAGUCUUGGUCAGCCGCAUCUGCCGCAGCAUCUGGGACCGCUGCUCCAUCAUCAGGGUCCGCUCGUAGGCGGAGAUGGUACAGGAAGACGGCCAGGUCCUUCUUCAUCUGGAUGCUGUUGUCGUCCAUCUGGGCCACUGUGAAGAUGCGCAUGCGGCACUUCCUCCAAACCUGUGGCAACAUGGUAGGUGGCUGGUUCAGUCACACCCUCCACCAAGGGCCCAGCCUCUUCAACCCGCACUCAGCCACCUGGCCCACCUUGUGCUGGCGCAGCAGGAAAGGCAGAAGCAUGAGCAUGCCGCCGUCAUGCACGAUCCACCACACGUCGAUGUGGCCCUCCAGGUAGCGCUCGUGGUUGCUGGGGUAGAAGGCGAUGUUCUUGGGCACGAGCAGGGCCAGGUGGGCAGCUGUAGUGCAGCGCACAGUGUCUGGGGACGAGGGGUACUGCUGACCACCGGUCUGUGGCCUUCUGGCCUCUGCCACCUCACUGGACCCCCAGCCCCUGGCCCAGCCCCGGCACCAGCCCCUCACACACCAAUAAAGGUCUUCCAGGCA